CCCUGUUUCCUGACUGUAAAAGGCGUGCCAGUGAAUCCGUAAUCCUGAUGUUAAAUCUUUGGUCUUAACCCAUAACGUGCAUUUGAAACUGACAGUCUUGAGUGAUGGAUAGGCAGGCGGAAUUCCUAGUGUAGCGGUGAAAUGCGUAGAUAUUAGGAGGAACACCAGUGGCGAAGGCGGCCUGCUGGACAUUAACUGACGCUGAGGCGCGAAAGCGUGGGGAGCAAACAGGAUUAGAUACCCUGGUAGUCCACGCUGUAAACGAUGAAUACUAGGUGUGGGGGGACUGACCCCCUCUGUGCCGGAGUUAACACAAUAAGUAUUCCACCUGGGGAGUACGGCCGCGAGGUUGAAACUCAAAGGAAUUGACGGGGGCCCGCACAAGCAGUGGAUUAUGUGGUUUAAUUCGAAGCAACGCGAAGAACCUUACCGGGGUUUGACAUCCAACUAACGAAGCAGAGAUGCAUUAGGUGCCCUUCGGGGAAAGUUGAGACAGGUGGUGCAUGGUUGUCGUCAGCUCGUGUCGUGAGAUGUUGGGUUAAGUCCCGCAACGAGCGCAACCCUUAUUGUUAGUUGCUACACAAGAGCACUCUAGCGAGACUGCCGUUGACAACACCGAGGAGGGUGGGGACGACGUCAAAUCAUCGUGCCCCUUGUGUGCGCGGCCUACACACGUAAUACAAUGGGCGGUCAACAGAGGGGAAGCGAAGCCGGCGAGGCAGAGCAAAUCCCCAAAAGCCGUCUCAGUUCGGAUUGCAGGCUGCAACUCGCCUGCAUGAACUCCGAAUUGCUAGUAAUCGCGGAUUAGC
rnacentral:rRNA from 1 species